rnacentral:rRNA from 1 species
GUAUCGUGAAAUUUCUAAGCUUGGAUGGCUUUUUUUGUCCGUCCUUAGCCUUGGUUGUUGGGCUUUGCCGUGCCCUUCAUUGGGACGGCUGGCCUUAAAAGCAUUAGCUGAUCCUCGUGUGGCACUGGUUCUACUCAGCGUGAUAAUUGUCUGAUCGCUGAGGACAUCUUUUGGGAUGGCCAGUCCUCAUUUGGGUCGCUUCUAAACCUGGUCUUGCAGAUUCUCCAAUCUGUGUUCCACUUUUCAGCUUUGACCCCGAAUCAGGUGGGACUACCCGCUGAACUUAAGCAUAUCAAUAAGCGGAGG